ensembl:misc_RNA Y_RNA Y RNA
UGCUGGGAUUAUAGACAUGAGCCACCACCCUCAACACAGUUACAGAUUAUUUUGUUCCUUUUCCACUCCCAUUGCUUCACUUGACUAGCAUGUU